GAUAAGAUGGCUGAAGUUUAGGUUGUAAAUUGUAAAUUUACACAUGGGUAUUACUCUCUUGUCA
rnacentral:tRNA from 1 species